UUUAUUUAUUUAUUUUUAAUGAUGUAUUUUAAUUCAGUUUUUUUUUGUGAUUCGUGGGUUGAUUUCUCGCCAGGCUUUGUGAGAUUCACUCUUCCGGGCGUGAGAGUCUGAACGGUUCCUGGUUUAUUUGCACUGAAACGGAUGAUGAUUCUUGAUUAAUCUUCUUCUUGCUGCUGUUGGUUUGGUUGUAAACGACUGUCCUGAUGUACAUUAGAAACAGACUGGUCUGUCCCACACUGACCUGGAGCAGUUUCAGGGAUGCAUGCUUACAGUCAGCCGGCCGUUUGUGCUUCUACACAUCUGUAAAUGUCAGCAAUAUAGCUCGUGUUGUAAUGUGAUGAACUAUUAUCAAUUUGUGAAGAUGUGUUUCAAGUUUAUAAGCUUUAUUUAUUUUCAAACCCAUAACAGACGCCUUUAGGUCAUUUAAAAAUAUAUAUUUGCAUACAGUGUUUUAUUUGCUGUAUUGAGGGACCGUUUCAAUUCGUCCCGGUUUCUGUUUAGGAGGUUUUAUGAAACUCGUUUAAUUCUUUCUUUUGAUAUAACAGUCAGAAUUUUCCAGUUAGCAUCAAGAGGUCGCUUUAAUGACUGAGUGAAUCUCAUGAAAACAUGUCCAGCUCACAUUUCACCCCAAAAUCAGACAGUAUGACCGUUAGGCAUUGUACUUUACUGUAAUAGUGCUUGAUCAGAAUAAAUUAAAAGGCAGAACAACAUCAUGAUGCACAUGUUAUUCAUUAUUAUUUGCAGUAGAGUAAUGACAAUGUGUCAUUAAAAUGUUACAAAAAAUCAUGAUGAUCUUAAAAUAUGCUUUAUUUUUAUAUUUAUUUGCAAUAUGCAACUUAGUUAUUUCUGUUUCUGGGGAAAAUAUAACCCGAACAUGAUUUUGUUUGUGGAAGUUUGUUUCUGCCAUAGAAUAAGAAAGAAUAAUUGCAAUGUUUCUCUCGCAAUUGAGACUUUUGCCAAAUUCUGAAAACUUCUGAAAGAAUUUUGAGAUAUGAAAUCAGAAUUGCAAUAUAUAGAAUUAAACAGAAUUAAAAAAAGAUAUAUGAAAUUAGAAUCCAACUUUUUUCUUGCAAUUCUAUUAUUAUUAUUAUUAUUAUUAUUAUUCAGAAUUGCAUGUUUUUAUCUCAGAAUUCUGAGUUUAUAUCUUGCAGUUCAAAGGUUAUAUCUCGGAAUGUUGAAUUUUUAUCUCGGAAUUCUGAGUUUAUAUCUCAGAUUAUUCUCAGAAUUUCUGAAUUUUGAGAGGAAAAAGUAGCAAUUACCUUUCUUUCAUUCUUCAUCCCAUGGCGGAAAUGGACUUCCAUAUUUGUGAGAUUCACCUCAGUUAUAAAUAAGAUUAGUAAUGCAGAUGAAGAAGAAGAAAAGAAAAAAAAAAAAGGAUAUGCACUUUGGAUGUCCCGAGGUAUUAUCAUCAUUAUGCAAUCUUUCUACACAAGUCAGCAUGUAAUAUUUCCUUUUUACAAUUUUUUUUUUUUUCCUUUUUGGAUGUAGGAUAUGUUUAAGGAUUUCUAUGCCAAGUGGAAUUUGAUUGUUAAUUCUUUUCUACUUUAUGCCAUACGUCUAUACUUAGUGAUGUCAUUCAGCACUUAGAUCAGCUGUUAUUUCUACUUGCUACUGCUAUUUUUAAUUUAACGAUUUUUACUUUUUUAAUCUACUCCGGUUGGGUUAGUGAUGCAUUUAAAGUUAAGUUUGACAUUGGUUUUCUGUAUAUUUGCAAGGUUUUGAUAUUUAUGCUCAAUAUCCGAUCUUUGUCAGCUACUAAAAACUGCCAAAAUAUGUUUCUUUCAACCUUUUUUUUUUCCUUUUCAAUGCAUGUGACAGAAAAACCUUCAUAAACCACAAAUGUUGAAACCUUGCAUUAGUCGAUUGAACUAGUGGUUUUAUGAUUUUCUGGAUCAUUUCAGUGGCGUCACUGGGAAGCAGCUGCAGAGAGUUGAUCAUUUGCUCUUAAUUUCCCCAUAAUCACUAGUUUCCAUGUAAAAUCAUUCACUUCUGAAAGUAUUGUAUUGAUUUUUUACAAUUCUGUGCCAUCCUUUCCUUUCGACCAAAAUCUUUCCGCAAUGUAAGAUUACUUGAAUUACUUCUCUGAUUAUUUUCGAUGGUUUUGAAGUGAAGUCCUGUGCCUUUGAAUGUUGAAUCUGUGUUAGAUGUGGAAUGUAAAAAGUGUUGAUGAAUAGAGCUCAUUUUUGUAUAAACCGUAAGCGCACUUUUAAGAUAUUUAUACUACUAGCUACAGAAUUAGAUCGAUAUGACAUAUCAGAAUAUGUAUGCUACCGAAUGCCACUUUCGACUUCUAUUUGUUUUUGUUGACAGAAAAGAUCCAGAUUUGACGUUUAAAGACAUUUGAUUUGAUCCACUCCUGUUAUUAGUAUCACAAAUAUCAAGAUCUUUGCAAGACAAAUACUGUUGAAUGUAAGUUGUGCUCGUGUUGUGCAUUGGUUUUAAUAAAAUUGUUCUUGUGAAAUUUAGGCUUUGAACA
ensembl:lncRNA